rnacentral:misc_RNA from 1 species
GAUGAAGAACGCAGUGAAAUGCGAUAAGUAAUGUGAAUUGCAGAAUUCAGUGAAUCAUCGAAUCUUUGAACGCACAUUGCGCCCGCCAGUAUUCUGGCGGGCAUGCCUGUUCGAGCGUCAUUUCAACCCUCAAGCACAGCUUGGUGUUGGGACUCGCGUUAAUUCGCGUUCCCCAAAUUGAUUGGCGGUCACGUCGAGCUUCCAUAGCGUAGUAGUAAAACCCUCGUUACUGGUAAUCGUCGCGGCCACGCCGUUAAACCCCAACUUCUGAAUGUUGACCUCGGAUCAGGUAGGAAUACCCGCUGAACUUAAGCAUAUCAAUAAGCGGGAGGA